CCUACGGGAGGCAGCAGUGAGGAAUAUUGGUCAAUGGACGAAAGUCUGAACCAGCCAAGUAGCGUGAAGGAUGACUGCCCUCUGGGUUGUAAACUUCUUUUAUAUGGGAAUAAAAUGUUCCACGUGUGGGAUUUUGUAUGUACAAUAUGAAUAAGGGUCGGCUAAUUCCGUGCCAGCAGCCGCGGUAAUACGGAGGAUCCGAGCGUUAUCCGGAUUUAUUGGGUUUAAAGGGAGCGUAGGUGGAUUGUUAAGUCAGUUGUGAAAGUUUGCGGCUCAACCGUAAAAUUGCAGUUGAAACUGGCAGUCUUGAGUACAGUAGAGGUGGGCGGAAUUCGUGGUGUAGCGGUGAAAUGCUUAGAUAUCACGAAGAACUCCGAUUGCGAAGGCAGUUCACUGGACUGCAACUGACACUGAGGCUCGAAAGUGUGGGUAUCAAACAGGAUUAGAUACCCGGGUAGUC
rnacentral:rRNA from 1 species